GAUGAACGCUGGCGGCGUGCCUAAUACAUGCAGGUCGAGCGAACAGACGAGGAGCUUGCUCCUCUGACGUUAGCGGCGGACGGGUGAGUAACACGUGGAUAACCUACCUAUAAGACUGGGAUAACUUCGGGAAACCGGAGCUAAUACCGGAUAAUAUAUUGAACCGCAUGGUUCAAUAGUGAAAGACGGUUUUGCUGUCACUUAUAGAUGGAUCCGCGCCGCAUUAGCUAGUUGGUAAGGUAACGGCUUACCCAGGCAACGAUGCGUAGCCGACCUGAGAGGGUGAUCGGCCACACUGGAACUGAGACACGGUCCAGACUCCUACGGGAGGCAGCAGUAGGGAAUCUUCCGCAAUGGGCGAAAGCUUGACGGAGCAACGCCGCGUGAGUGAUGAAGGUCUUCGGAUCGUAAAACUCUGUUAUUAGGGAAGAACAAAUGUGUAAGUAACUAUGCACGUCUUGACGGUACCUAAUCAGAAAGCCACGGCUAACUACGUG
rnacentral:rRNA from 1 species